rnacentral:rRNA from 1 species
GAGUUUGAUCUUGGCUCAGGACGAACGCUGGCGGCAGGCUUAACACAUGCAAGUCGGACGCCCGCAAGGGAGUGCGCAAGGGUGAGAAACGCGUGGGAAGUUUGCCUUUCAGUACGGAAUAACCACGGGAAACUGUGGCUAAUACCGUAUGGUCCCGUUCGGGGUAAAGAUUUAUCGCUGAAAGAUAAGCCCGCGUCAGAUUAGCUGGUUGGUGGGGUAACGGCCUACCAAGGCAACGAUCUGUAGCUGGUCUAAGAGGACGAUCAGCCACACUGGAACUGAGACACGGCCCAGACUCCUACGGGAGGCAGCAGUGGGGAAUCUUGGACAAUGGGCGCAAGCCUGAUCCAGCCAUGCCGCGUGAGUGACGAAGGCCUUAGGGUUGUAAAGCUCUUUUGCCGGGGACGAUAAUGACGGUACCCGGAGAAUAAGUCCCGGCUAACUUCGUGCCAGCCGCCGCCGUAC